UACAGAGGUCUCAAGCGUUUGUUCGGAAUUACUGGGCGUAAAGCGCACGUAGGCGGAUUGUUUAGUCAGGGGUGAAAUCCCGAGGCUCAACCUCGGAACUGCCUUUGAUACUGGCAAUCUCGAGUCCGGAAGAGGUGAGUGGAAUUCCUAGUGUAGAGGUGAAAUUCGUAGAUAUUAGGAAGAACACCAGUGGCGAAGGCGGCUCACUGGUCCGGUACUGACGCUGAGGUGCGAAAGCGUGGGGAGCAAACAGG
rnacentral:rRNA from 1 species